UACAGAGGUCUCAAGCGUUGUUCGGAUUCAUUGGGCGUAAAGCGCGCGUAGGCGGCGCGGUAUGUCGUGCGUGAAAUCUCCCGGCUUAACUGGGAGGGGCCGUGCGAAACUGCCGGGCUUGAGGUCGGAAGGGGAAAGUGGAAUUCCGGGUGUAGUGGUGGAAUACGUAGAUAUCCGGAGGAACACCAGCGGCGAAGGCGGCUUUCUGGUCCGAUACUGACGCUGAGGUGCGAAAGCGUGGGGAGCGAUCCGG
rnacentral:rRNA from 1 species